rnacentral:rRNA from 1 species
CCUACGGGAGGCAGCAGUGAGGAAUAUUGGUCAAUGGACGAGAGUCUGAACCAGCCAAGUAGCGUGAAGGAUGACUGCCCUAUGGGUUGUAAACUUCUUUUAUAUGGGAAUAAAACGUUCCACGUGUGGGAUUUUGUAUGUACCAUAUGAAUAAGGAUCGGCUAACUCCGUGCCAGCAGCCGCGGUAAUACGGAGGAUCCGAGCGUUAUCCGGGUUUAUUGGGUUUAAAGGGAGCGUAGGUGGAUUGUUAAGUCAGUUGUGAAAGUUUGCGGCUCAACCGUAAAAUUGCAGUUGAAACUGGCAGUCUUGAGUACAGUAGAGGUGGGCGGAAUUCGUGGUGUAGCGGUGAAAUGCUUAGAUAUAACGAAGAACUCCGAUUGCGAAGGCAGUUCACUGGACUGCAACUGACACUGAGGCUCGAAAGUGUGGGUAUCAAACAGGAUUAGAUACCCCAGUAGUC